rnacentral:rRNA from 1 species
AGUGAACGCUGGCGGUAGGCCUAGCACAUGCGAGUCGAACGGCAGCACAGUAAGAGCUUGCUCUUACGGGUGGCGAGUGGCGGACGGGUGAGGAAUACAUCGGAAUCUACUUUUUCGUGGGGGAUAACGUAGGGAAACUUACUCUAAUACCGCAUACGACCUACGGGUGAAAGCAGGGGAUCUUCGGACCUUGCGCGAUUGAAUGAGCCGAUGUCGGAUUAGCUAGUUGGCGGGGUAAAGGCCCACCAAGGCGACGAUCCGUAGCUGGUCUGAGAGGAUGAUCAGCCACACUGGAACUGAGACACGGUCCAGACCCCUACGGGAGGCAGCAGUGGGGAAUAUUGGACAAUGGGCGCAAGCCUGAUCCAGCCAUACCGCGUGGGUGAAGAAGGCCUUCGGGUUGUAAAGCCCUUUUGUUGGGAAAGAAAAGCAGCAGGUUAAUACCCCGCUGUUCUGACGGUACCCAAAGAAUAAGCACCGGCUAACUUCGUG